CGUGUAGGCGGUCAGGUAAGUGGAAUGUGAAAGCCCUCGGCUCACCCGAGGAUCUGCAUUCCAAACUGCCUGGCUUGAGUAUGGGAGAGGAUGAGGGAAUUCCCAGUGUAGAGGUGAAAUUCGUAGAUAUUGGGAAGAACACCGGUGGCGAAGGCGGCGACCUGGUCCUUGACUGACGCUGAGGCGCGAAAGCGUGGGGAGCAAACA
rnacentral:rRNA from 1 species